rnacentral:lncRNA from 1 species
GUAAGGUAGAUUGAAUAUAUUCUUUUUUCCUGUGAAUGGUUCUGAGCCAUUUCAGAAGCAUGCCAUUAGCUGGGAGAAUUGGUACACUGGUCUGGAUGCACUGUCCACUAUGGGACAGGCAUGGUGUGAUGCCAGAAUCCUCCUUCAUGGCAGGAAAUUUGGUAAGGUAGAUUGAACACAUGCUCUUUAUUCCUGUGAGUGGUUCUGAGCAAUUUUGGGACCAUCCCAUUAGCUGGGAGUGCCUGUACGGUGGCCCAGAUGCCCCCUCCACUAUGGGAGUUGGCAGAUGCCAAACCAAAAUAUUCCCUUGAGGCAGGAGAUGGGGUAAGGUCUAUUGAAUACAUUCUCUUUUUUCUUGUGAGCAGUUCUGAGCCAUUUUGGAAGCAUCCAAUUAGAUGGGAACGGCCUUCUGGCAUACCGGAAGUCACCUCCAUUGCAGGUGCAGGGUGCUGCCUGGCCAGAAGCCUCCCCUGUGGCAGGAAAUCUGGCAAGGUAGAUCAAACACAUUCUCUUUUUUUCUGUGAGCAGUUCUGACCCAUUUAGGAAGCAACCAAUUAGCUGUGAUCAUUGGUACGGUGGCCUGGAAGCUGCCUCCACUAUGGGAGCAGCAUGGUGCCAUGCCAGAAUGUGCCCCCAUUUCAGGAAAUUUGGUAAGGUAGAUUGAACACAUUCUCUUUUUUCCUGUGAGCAGUUCUGAGCCAUUUUGGAAGCAUCCCAUUAGCUGGGAGCAUCCGUACUGUGGCCCCGAAGCCACCUCCACUAUGGAAGCAUUGUGGUGCCAUCCCAAAAUAUUUCCCUGUGGCAGGAGAUGUGGUAAUGUAAAUGGAAUGCAUUCUCUUUUUUCCUGUGAGAGGUUCUUAGCCAUUUUGGAAGCAUCUGAUUAGCUGGGAGUGGCCAUAUGGGGGACUGGAAUCAGCAACCACUAUGGAAGCUGCAUGGUGCCAUGCCAGAGUCCUCCCCCAUGCAGGAAAUUUGGUAAAGUAGAUUGAACACAUUCUCUUUUUUCUUCUGAGGGGUUCUGGACCAUUUCAGGAGCAGCCCAUUAGCUGGGAGCAGCCAUAUGGUGUCCCAGAAGGUGCCUCCACUAUGGGAGUUGCGUGGUGCCAUCCUGAAAUAUCCCCCAUGGCAGCAAAUGUGUGGUUCUGAGCCUUUUGGAAGCAUCCAAUUAGCUGGGAGCAACCUUAUGCCAACCCUGAAGGUGCCUCCAUUACGGAAGCAGCAUUGUGCCAGGCCAGAAUCCUCUGCCAUGCCAGGAGAUGUGGGAUCAAACUUGGGACCUUGUCCUUGGAAGGCAGUCACUGGAAACACUGAGCUAAAUCCUCGGCCCAAGGAUGACAAUUUUUGAUUAUCCAAAUGAAUCACAAUCCAGAAUCCAUGAAAUAAAAGCAAACUCCUACCUCUUUCCAGGAUCUCACUCUGUGGUUCAGGCUGGCCUCAAAUGUGCAAUGAUCCUCCUAUCUCAGCCUUUUGAGUGAAAAUUUUCUUUUCUUAUGGUGAGUAGUACUCCAUAUAUCAGAUUUCUUUCUUUUUUUUUUUUGGUACUGGGCAUCGAACUCAGGCCCUUGCACUUGUGCAGCAGGUGGUGCAACCUCUGAGCUAAAUCCCUGGCCCCUUCAGAUUUCUUAUAUCCAUUCAUCUGUUGAUGGUGUAUAAGUCAUUUCAAAGUUUCAAGUAUUAUGAAUGGUGUUGCUAUCAACAUGAGAAACAUAUGUGUCUCUGUAAGAUAAUGUCUUUAUGUUUCUCAGGAAGUUACCCAGAUGGAUUAUAACUGAGUCAAAUGAAAUUUAUCAUUUUAGUUUUCAGAGUGCUUGUACUAGUUUUCAUUCCAAUCAGCAUUGUACAAGAGUUUUCUUUCCCUUACAACCUUGCCUGUUUUUGUUACUUUUUGAGUUCUUUUUUCUUUUUUUGGUACCGGAGAUUGAACUCAGGGGCUUUCCCUAGUGAGGCAGGAUUUUUUAGAGUUCUUGAUAAUAGCCAUGCCUAGUGGAAUGAGAUGGAACCUAAUGUUGUUUUGAUUUGAAUUUCUCUAAUGGCCAACAAUGUUGAACAUAUUUUAUAUAAUUUAUUGGCCAUUUGUUUUUCUUUGAGAAGUGUGUUUUCAUUAAAAUUGCUCUUUUUAAUUUGGUCUUUCAUUUUGGAGGAGUUGUUGUUGUUCUUUAUUCUAGAUAUUAGAAUAAUAUCUCUGUCCAAUGAAAAGCUGACAAAGAAUUUCCCACUGUGGAGGUUGUCUCUUCAGUCAGUUCUUGUUCUCUGUUCUGUGCAAAAGCUUCUUAAUUUGGUAUAAUCCCAUUUGUUGAUUCUUAAUUUUUUUUGUACCGGGGAUUAAACUCAGGACCUUUCAGUUGUGAGGUAGGCACUGGAACCCCU